AGUGAACGCUGGCGGUAGGCCUAACACAUGCAAGUCGAACGGCAGCACAGUAAGAGCUUGCUCUUACGGGUGGCGAGUGGCGGACGGGUGAGGAAUACAUCGGAAUCUACUUUUUCGUGGGGGAUAACGUAGGGAAACUUACGCUAAUACCGCAUACGACCUACGGGUGAAAGCAGGGGAUCUUCGGACCUUGCGCGAUUGAAUGAGCCGAUGUCGGAUUAGCUAGUUGGCGGGGUAAAGGCCCACCAAGGCGACGAUCCGUAGCUGGUCUGAGAGGAUGGUCAGCCACACUGGAACUGAGACACGGUCCAGACUCCUACGGGAGGCAGCAGGGGGGAAUAUUGGACAAUGGGCGCAAGCCUGAUCCAGCCAUACCGCGUGGGUGAAGAAGGCCUUCGGGUUGUAAAGCCCUUUUGUUGGGAAAGAAAAGCAGCAGGUUAAUACCCCGCUGUUCUGACGGUACCCAAAGAAUAAGCACCGGCUAACUUCGUG
rnacentral:rRNA from 1 species